CGAUCUAUAGCUGGUCUGAGAGGAUGAUCAGCCACACUGGGACUGAGACACGGCCCAGACUCCUACGGGAGGCAGCAGUGGGGAAUCUUGGACAAUGGGCGAAAGCCUGAUCCAGCCAUUCCGCGUGGAUGAUGAAGGCCCUAGGGUUGUAAAAUCCUUUCGGCAGGGAAGAUAAUGACGGUACCUGCUAAAGAAGCCCCGGCUAACUCCGUGCCAGCAGCC
rnacentral:rRNA from 1 species